AUGUUUUUUUAUUUGGAAAGAAUCUAUGUGGGAUCUCAGAAUGAGGGAACUUCCUCUAGGGAUUCUUCGUUCAACACCAUCUUCUCUAAUGACGAUGAUGAGGGUGAUCACGUGGCUGCCUCCAUGCCUCAUUCUUCUCAUGCUGCUGAAACUUCGACUACUUCUACUUUCCUAACUCUAGAAAUACAGGUUGUUAGCUUGAGGAGGAAGCAUGCUAGAUAUUAUAUUUAG